AUUUAAAGAUUCAGCCGCCCCGCCCCCUGCCAGACUUGGGAAAGCCAGCAUCGGCCAACAGAGAGACACCCACUAUGAGAUUUCGACGCCUGACUCCGGGCUAUUUCCGGGUGCUACAGAUGCAGGUGGCUGGGGAGCUGAAGGCAGAGCCCCGGAGUCCACUGGUUGGGAUUGUGGCUACACUGUUGGCUGUCCUCGGGUUAGGUGGCUCCUGUUAUGCUGUGUGGAAGAUGGUGAAGCAGCGGCAGCCAUCACAAGCUCCGUGAUGAGGCAGGCAGCCUCUCACCCAGGCUUAGGAAGUAGGUGCCUCAGGUGAGGGGGCUGCAAGAUCCAAAUCCCACUUUUUCCCCUAGGGGAUUAGUCUUGGCCAUCACUAGAUCCUUCCUACUCCCCGGUUUUACGAUGUACGUAGACUCCAGCCCGGAUUCAAAGAAGCAGGCGGGGGAAACACGUUCCAAAGCUGGACCUAGUAGGGAGUAGACAUCUUGGCCCAGAAACCCCUGGUAAGGGAAGUUAGUAUCAGAGGUGCACCCUCUUGUCCAGGUCCUUUAUUUUGGGCAGAAUACCCAGAAGAAGAGAGCAUAUCUGCAAACUCAAAAUCCAAAACAUACACUCUCAGCCUAGCUGAUGAACCACUGCCCAUGGGCAGUUUCUCUGCCCUGCAUCCUUAGGCCACUCAGGUGGAUGUGUCCAUCUCAGGAAUCUCAGUGGACACUUCUGUGGGCAUGCCCAGACGCUGGGGUUGCACAUACGAGCCCAUGCCCGCUGCCCUCUCAGCCUCUUCCUGACUGUAGGGUUCGACACUCAGCUGCUUCAGCCUGGAAGAAAAAAGAGUAGGAGAUGGCGGAGCUCACCAAGUGCAAGACCUUCCUGCAUGGCACCCAUCCACCAGCCCUCUACUGACGCCUUCAUACCUUUUCUUGUGGUCUUUGGAUCGGAAGUGGGUCUUCAGGUUGGCAGAAUCGAUGAAGUACCUCCUGCAGAGAUGUAGGGUGAGGGAAAGAGUGAAGGGGUGAAGUCUCUCAGGUAUGCCUACCUCCCUGGCCCUAGCUCGUUGCCGGACAUCAGAUUCUGAGCCCGAACAGAUGAGAGGCGGACUGACCCACGGGUCCCAAGACAGAACCUUCUCGGGUCUCGCGGCCCGGACCUCGCUGCUCCGGGCUGGUACCUCAGACCCUGCUCCUCCCCUGGCUAGACUCACGCGCAGGCCAGACAGCGAUGCAGGCCGCCCCCUGGCAGGUCCGGGUCGGGCUCUGCGUCCCGCUCCCGCUUGGGCCGCGGGAGCCCCUGCGGCCUCAGCUCGCGAUGGAUCUCAUCCAGGUCCGGCCGCCGCUUCUUGGCCUUCAUCUGGCGAGCUAAGGAAUGUGCUCGGUGCGCGCCGGUUCGCCGGGAGCGACCCAUGAUCAGAGAGAGACACACACAAGACCAAGAAACAGGGAGUAGGGAAAAGCUUCACACGUGUUGUCGCUUCCGGGCCGCUCGAUGACGUCACGAGAGGCCCGCCCGGGGGCGGAGCAGGAUUGACCAGACCGCCUUUGAUGACGUCACGGACGGGUUGGCUGCUUGAGCGCCCCCCAGAUGGUCGUUGAUGAUAAUGACUGGGCUAUGGCGGGGCAGGAGCGGGCUUGGGGGAGAACCGGUCCCACUAUUCUGCCCGCCCCAUCAUCACUUCCCGGUUUCCACACCUCGAAUUGCAGUGGUAGGGGAUGCUUUUAACGUUUCUGGACAGCACUGAUGCUUGUGCCAUGAAUAAAUUACUUAAUAAAUGAGAAUUAGUGUGGAAUCACGGAUGGAUCACCCAAAGAUACCCCUAGGUUCUAACAAAGAGCCUUCUUCCCACCCCCACCCCCACCCCUGGCGUUUCGUUUUACCUCUCUCCUCAUCUCCCCCUCCCCGCCCCCCACUCUCAAAUUCCUGGGGCAAAGAGCGGAAAAUUGUUUCACAAAGAAUCUAGCCCCUAAGGGGUCUGUCCUUGGAGAAUGCUCUGCUCUUCAUACAAAAAGAACUUUUUGUCUGUUGUUUGUUUGGUUGGUUGGUUGGUUGGUUUUUCAGAACUGGGGUUGGUGCUCAGUGCUUCAUAUAAUCCAGGCGAAGAGUCUAAUAGAGGAGUUUGGGGUGGGAGCACUGCAUCCCUAGCCCAAGAGGAAAUGUCCAUAGAAGAACCCCCCACCCCCACCCCUGCUUUCUUUCUUUAUGCCCAGGCUCAUGGGGAGGGCUGGCAGGAAAGGGGACAAUGACCAAGAAGUGGUGCCUUUGCUCAUCUUGGCCUGGUGCCUCUCAGGCUGGCCAGAGCCAGCUCUACUAUAUGGGGGCCGAGGACCUCAGCAAUAAUUCAGAGUUCUGGCUCUUUGGAACUAGUUGCCAGGAAACAAGGAGUCAGGCACGUGCAUCCUUGGGGAGAACAGGUUUCUAGGCCAGCCCUGCAGUGAAAUGGAAGCCCAGGUGCUGACUGGAGGCCUAGGAUCUUCUGACUCCAGCUCAUGAGAACUGGGUAGACACAGGGUGGGACCCUGAACAGGACUCAGCUAGAAUGGCUACUAUCACAGGAUGCAUAGGUAUGGCUCCUGGACUCAAGACUUUGAGUGGAAGACUUUUUUUCUACAGCCAUUCUAAGACAUGAAUCACCAUCAGUCUUCCUGUGUGCAGGCAGGAAAACAGACUCUCCAAAAAGCUGACUUCAUUAACUUUGGCCAAUAUGGGUCAAGACUUGCAGCUGAAAUGGCACAAGCCUGCCCCAACCUCAGAAUCACUGGGAUCAGGUUUACCUGUUUGGCACUGUGCCAGCAGGGGAGACUGGUGCAUCUUUCAUGAAGUCACCGGAUCCCCGGGACAGGCUCUCUGUUCUUCCAAGUUUCUGGAGCCAGAGCCACUGGUGCCCAUUGAGCUACCACCUUCCGUACCUGGGUGUCAGGCCCCUUUCUCCUGCAGCCAUGAACCAAGCCUUCUGGAAAACUUACAAGUCCAAAGUGCUACAGACUCUGAGUGGAGAAUCUGAAGAGGACCUGGCAGAGGAGCCCACUGGCUGCGCCUCCUUCCUCGCAGGCGGCCGCCGCCGAGACCGAGCCGCG